rnacentral:rRNA from 1 species
UGCAAGUCGAGCGAAUGGAUUAAGAGCUUGCUCUUAUGAAGUUAGCGGCGGACGGGUGAGUAACACGUGGGUAACCUGCCCAUAAGACUGGGAUAACUCCGGGAAACCGGGGCUAAUACCGGRUAAUAUUUUGAACCGCAUGGUUCGAAAUUGAAAGGCGGCUUCGGCUGUCACUUAUGGAUGGACCCGCGUCGCAUUAGCUAGUUGGUGAGGUAACGGCUCACCAAGGCAACGAUGCGUAGCCGACCUGAGAGGGUGAUCGGCCACACUGGGACUGAGACACGGCCCAGACUCCUACGGGAGGCAGCAGUAGGGAAUCUUCCGCAAUGGACGAAAGUCUGACGGAGCAACGCCGCGUGAGUGAUGAAGGCUUUCGGGUCGUAAAACUCUGUUGUUAGGGAAGAACAAGUGCUAGUUGAAUAAGCUGGCACCUUGACGGUACCUAACCAGAAAGCCACGGCUAACUACGUGCCAGCAGCCGCGGUAAUACGUAGGUGGCAAGCGUUAUCCGGAAUUAUUGGGCGUAAAGCGCGCGCAGUGGUUUCUUAAGUCUGAUGUGAAAGCCCACGGCUCAACCGUGGAGGGUCAUUGGAAACUGGGAGACUUGAGUGCAGAAGAGAAAGUGGAAUUCCAUGUGUAGCGGUGAAUGCGUAGAGAUAUGGAGGAACACCAGUGGCGAAGGGACUUUCUGGUCUGUACUGACACUGAGGCGCGAAAGCGUGGGGGGAGCAACAGAUAGAUACCU